rnacentral:rRNA from 1 species
UACGUAGGGGGCAAGCGUUGUCCGGAAUCAUUGGGCGUAAAGAGCUCGUAGGCGGUCUGUCGCGUCGGUCGUGAAAACUUGGGGCUUAACCCUGAGCUUGCGGUCGAUACGGGCAUGACUGGAGUUCGGUAGGGGAGACUGGAAUUCCUGGUGUAGCGGUGAAAUGCGCAGAUAUCAGGAGGAACACCGGUGGCGAAGGCGGGUCUCUGGGCCGAUACUGACGCUGAGGAGCGAAAGCGUGGGGAGCGAACAGG